GGCGGCGUGCUUAACACAUGCAAGUCGAGCGGAAAGGCCCCUUCGGGGGUACUCGAGCGGCGAACGGGUGAGUAACACGUGAGCAACCUGCCCCUGACUCUGGGAUAAGCCUGGGAAACCGGGUCUAAUACCGGAUAUGACGUGCUCCCGCAUGGGAUGUUCGUGGAAAGUUUUUCGGUUGGGGAUGGGCUCGCGGCCUAUCAGCUUGUUGGUGGGGUGAUGGCCUACCAAGGCGACGACGGGUAACCGGCCUGAGAGGGCGACCGGUCACACUGGGACUGAGACACGGCCCAGACUCCUACGGGAGGCAGCAGUGGGGAAUAUUGCGCAAUGGGCGGAAGCCUGACGCAGCGACGCCGCGUGGGGGAUGACGGCCUUCGGGUUGUAAACCCCUUUCAGCAGGGACGAAGCGGAAGUGACGGUCCUGCAGAAGAAGCGCCGGCUAACUACGUGCCAGCAGCCGCGGUAAUACGUAGGGCGCAAGCGUUGUCCGGAAUUAUUGGGCGUAAAGAGCUCGUAGGCGGUUUGUCGCGUCCGUCGUGAAAGCCCACAGCUUAACUGUGGGUCUGCGGUGGAUACGGGCAGACUAGAGGCAGGUAGGGGAGAACGGAAUUCCCGGUGUAGCGGUGAAAUGCGCAGAUAUCGGGAGGAACACCGGUGGCGAAGGCGGUUCUCUGGGCCUGUACUGACGCUGAGGAGCGAAAGCGUGGGGAGCGAACAGGAUUAGAUACCCUGGUAGUCCACGCCGUAAACGUUGGGCGCUAAGGUGUGGGGUCCUUCCACGGAUUCCGUGCCGGUAGCUAACGCAUUAAGCGCCCCGCCUGGGGAGUACGGCCGC
rnacentral:rRNA from 1 species